GUCUUUUUGGUUAUAAUUUAAAGUCUAAUCUGCCCACUGAUUAAAAAUUAAAGGGCUGCAGUAUAUUGACUGUACAAAGGUAGCAUAAUCAUUAGUCUUUUAAUUGAAGACUUGUAUGAAGGAUUUGAUGAAAUAUAAACUGUCUCUUAUUUAAAAUUAAAAAUUAAUUUUUUAGUAAAAAAGCUAAAAUAUAUUUAAAAGACGAGAAGACCCUAUAGAGUUUUAUAAUAAAUUUAAUUAAUUAUUUAUAUAAAUUUUAUUUAUAAAUUAAAAUUAAUUAUUUAAUUGGGGUGAUUAAAAAAUUUAAUUAACUUUUUUUAUAAAUUUACAUUAAUUAAUGAAUAUAUGAUCCAUAAUUUAUGAUUAUAAGAAUAAAUUACCUUAGGGAUAACAGCGUAAUUUUUUUUUUUAGUUCUAAUAAGAAAAAGAGUUUGCGACCUCGAUGUUGGAUUAAGGUAAAAUUUAAAUGCAGAAGUUUAAAAUUUUUGAUCUGUUCGAUCAUUAAAAUCUUACA
rnacentral:rRNA from 1 species